rnacentral:rRNA from 1 species
GGGGGGACGGAGAAGGCUAUGUUAGCCGGGCGACGGUUGUCCCGGUUUAAGCAUGUAGGCUGAUUGUCCAGGCAAAUCCGGAUAAUCAAGGCUGAGGUGUGAUGACGAGGCACUACGGUGCUGAAGUAACAAAUGCCCUGCUUCCAGGAAAAGCCUCUAAGCAUCAGGUAACAUUAAAUCGUACCCCAAACCGACACAGGUGGUCAGGUAGAGAAUACCAAGGCGCUUGAGAGAACUCGGGUGAAGGAACUAGGCAAAAUGGUGCCGUAACUUCGGGAGAAGGCACGCUGGUGUGUAGGUGAAGUCCCUGCGGAUGGAGCUGAGACC